AUUUGCCAAGAUCUGAAGAAGGCAAAAAAAUCAUACAGAGAGAUAUAGAUCAGUUCAUGAGAUUUUCAGCAUGCAGCAAGACCUAUUCAUUGCCGGAAGAUUCAUUUUCGCAGACUUCAAAUGGCCAAGAAAUAAAUUCCCAAAACAUAUACAGUAUGGAUACAGAGGAAAGUCAAAGUGACAAGUUUUCUAGUAUUGCAGGUAAUACUCAAAACAGUAGCCAGGAUUGGUACGAGUUGCAGAAAAC